UGUUCCAUACAACAUCAGAUUCAGAUCUGGUUUAAGUGGUGGAGGUGACGGUGGUUCCUCCUGCCGGAAAACCACUUAGUAGCUACUUGGCGGUGGUGGUCCAUGGUUAGUUACUUGAAUUCUCGUUUCCAUUUUUCAGAGUGACGUGAAGCAUGGUGUGGUUCAUAUGACGGUUUGAUGUUUCAGAUUACGGGGUCGAUGUUGAACAACUGGUUAAGAUUUGAAGCAUUUUUGUAAUUGCAUGUUACAUUUUUUGAUCAUGUAAAAAGUGGGUUUUAUUGUUCCAGAUCUAAAAGAUGAUCCGAAAUC